GGGCCGUUAGUUCAGUUGGUAGAAUGCGUCUCUCCUAUGAAGGACACACAAGAUGAGGUCCUGGGUUCGAGCCCCAGGCGGCCCU